AGUGAACGCUGGCGGUAGGCCUAACACAUGCAAGUCGAACGGCAGCACAGUAAGAGCUUGCUCUUACGGGUGGCGAGUGGCGGACGGGUGAGGAAUACAUCGGAAUCUACUUUUUCGUGGGGGAUAACGUAGGGAAACUUACGCUAAUACCGCAUACGACCUACGGGUGAAAGCAGGGGGUCUUCGGACCUUGCGCGAUUGAAUGAGCCGAUGUCGGAUUAGCUAGUUGGCGGGGUAAAGGCCCACCAAGGCGACGAUCCGUAGCUGGUCUGAGAGGAUGGUCAGCCACACUGGAACUGAGACACGGUCCAGACUCCUACGGGAGGCAGCAGUGGGGAAUAUUGGACAAUGGGCGCAAGCCUGAUCCAGCCAUACCGCGUGGGUGAAGAAGGCCUUCGGGUUGUAAAGCCCUUUUGUUGGGAAAGAAAAGCAGCAGGUUAAUACCCCGCUGUUCUGACGGUACCCAAAGAAUAAGCACCGGCUAACUUCGUG
rnacentral:rRNA from 1 species